rnacentral:rRNA from 1 species
AGNAGCCGUANAUGCAGUCGAGCGGUAACAGAAAGUAGCUUGCUACUUUGCUGACGAGCGGCGGACGGGUGAGUAAUGCUUGGGAACAUGCCUUGAGGUGGGGGACAACAGUUGGAAACGACUGCUAAUACCGCAUAACGUCUACGGACCAAAGGGGGCUUCGGCUCUCGCCUUUAGAUUGGCCCAAGUGGGAUUAGCUAGUUGGUGAGGUAAUGGCUCACCAAGGCGACGAUCCCUAGCUGGUUUGAGAGGAUGAUCAGCCACACUGGGACUGAGACACGGCCCAGACUCCUACNNGAGGCA